CAACCUCUCUCCCGUGCUAAGUCCUGUCACAGCCGACCCUGCCAGAGACUCAUUAUAAUAUUGAAAUGACAUUUAAAUGAGCCAAAGUGCGACUGGAGAGGCUAUAAUUGGGUGAUAAUUGGUCUGGCUUCCCACUCCCCCUGCCCCACCUCUAUUUUGCAUUCCUAUGCGCGCUAAUUGACACCCUGCCGGGCGCCCCCCUGAGCUCCCCUUGAGCUCAGUCAAUUAGAACAUUCCAAGAUGGCGGAUGGUACCAGAGAUUUCCAAUAGGACAGUUGGCUAGAGCGUCGUUUGGAGUCUUUUUAUGCAGUUACCAGUCAGUGACCACUGACAAUGUAGGACUAGUAGUACCUUAUCUACACUGAACACGGCUAACAGCUGACCUUCACACCUUCAUGAAAAGAAGGAGUACUCGGAGUAGCUGGUGGGGUCAUCAUGCUGGUACCCUGAAGGCUCACACUUCUCGUGCUGGUUGGUGUGGCGAAGCUGCUGCGGUUGGAACUGCUGUAAAAAGAAACACAGGAGAUCCGAUGUUGCUGGUAGACUGGAAUGGACUGACUGGAUCCUGAGUCUGACUGGCAGCUGCAUGUUCACCUGGUUUCCUGCAUUGAGCAAAAGACGCAUUAGUUAA